GCCAGUCAAGAUGAAAAACUUCUUCUAAUGGAAUCCAGCUUGAAAGCAACUCAAGAGCAGCUAAGUGAGCAAAUAGCAGAAACCGUUCGCCAAGAACAGAACAGUAGAAAAUCACAGACAGAACUGAAGACCGAGAGAACAUAUUAUAGCAUCUGAAGAAGAAAUUAGUGAUUACAAGUGAGCAACACGAUAAACAAUGAUAUUACCAUCCUGCCAAUAGAGGAAGAUAGAUCAACAUGGACUACACCAUCUUGUUGAAAUGGAUGAGAGCAAGCACAGGCUUUUUGGCUAAUAGGCUAGAAAAUAUCCUAAUAAGGCUCAGCCAAACCCUGAAACAUGCUUUUAGAGUUUCUGUUUCAG